AUUGAACGAUGGCGGCAGGUCUAACAUAUGCACGUGGAACGAGUGGCGGGGUGGUGAGCAAUGACUGGGAAACCGGCCGAUGGAUGGGGAUGACUACUGGGUUGGGUAGCUAAUAGCGCAUAUCAUGGGAUGUGAGCAGAGGGGAUUGGCGUGUGGGUGGGGUAAAGGCUCACCUAGGCGACGAUCCCUAGCUGGUCUGCGAGGAGGACCAGCCACACUGGAACUGAGACACGGUCCAGACUCCGACGGGAGGCAGCAGUGGGGAAUAUUGCACAAUGGGCGCAAGCCUGAUGCAGACAUGCCGCGUGUAUGAAGAAGGCCUUCGGGUUGUAAAGUACUUUCAGCGAGGAGGCGUUACUCGCAGAAGAAGCACCGGCUAACUCCGUGCCAGCCGCCGCGGUAAUUC
rnacentral:rRNA from 1 species